rnacentral:rRNA from 1 species
UACGGGGGGUGCAAACGUUGCUCGGAAUUAUUGGGCGUAAAGCGCACGUAGGCGGUCUGUUAAGUCGGGUGUGAAAGCCCUGGGCUCAACCCAGGAAGUGCACUCGAAACUGACAGGCUUGAGUACGGAAGAGGGUCUCGGAAUUCCCGGUGUAGAGGUGAAAUUCGUAGAUAUCGGGAGGAACACCAGUGGCGAAGGCGGAGACCUGGGCCGAUACUGACGCUGAGGUGCGAAAGCGUGGGGAGCGAACAGG